rnacentral:rRNA from 1 species
UAGGGAAUCUUCGGCAAUGGGGGGAACCCUGACCGAGCAACGCCGCGUGAGUGAAGAAGGUUUUCGGAUCGUAAAGCUCUGUUGUUAAGGAAGAACGUGUGUGAGAGUGGAAAGUUCACACAGUGACGGUACUUAACCAGAAAGGGACGGCUAACUACGUGCCAGCAGCCGCGGUAAUACGUAGGUCCCGAGCGUUGUCCGGAUUUAUUGGGCGUAAAGCGAGCGCAGGCGGUUAGAUAAGUCUGAAGUGAAAGGCAGUGGCUCGACCAUUGUAGGCUUUGGAAACUGUUUAACUUGAGUGCAGAAGGGGAGAGUGGAAUUCCAUGUGUAGCGGUGAAAUGCGUAGAUAUAUGGAGGAACACCGGUGGCGAAAGCGGCUCUCUGGUCUGUAACUGACGUUGAGGCUCGAAAGCGUGGGGAGCGAACAGGAUUAGAUACCCUGGUAGUCCACGCCGUAAACGAUGAGUGCUAGGUGUUAGGUCCUUUCCGGGACUUAGUGCCGCAGCUAACGCAUUAAGCACUCCGCCUGGGGAGUACGACCGCAAGGUUG